GCCAUUCUCUUUCACAAUAAAUUCCACAAGGGCAUGUGGAAGUGUGUAUGAGGUACCUAGUACAGUGCCCAGGGACCAACCAAUACAUGUUUGAUGAAUAAAUGAAUGAAUGACUGCUGACCAGGCCAAAGGCAGAUUUCUGGGGCAAUGGCAACUAUGACAUUCCAGGAGCAGGAAGAGUCACCAAAGAGAAGAAUGACUGAAAAUGUGUGCUCAGGGAGAGAAGAUUCUACUCUACCUGGGAAGACUACAUCGACUAGGACAAACGUGGAUUUUGAAAACAGAGCUU